CCAAAGCUCAGUCGGUUAGAGCGUGGCGCUGAUAACACCAAGGCCACGGGUUCAACUCCCACUUGG
rnacentral:tRNA from 1 species